AUAUUUAGAAGGAAUUUCUAUAAGAAUAGAAGUGGUUUUUGGAUAUCUAAUCAUAUCUUGAGAACUCUUGUGAAUCCUAGAUUUAUAUGUAUGAUGUAAAUAUCUUCAUAAGCAUAAGCUAUAAAUAAGAUUUGGAUAUUAUAUACUUACAAGUUAUUUGAGUAAUUAGUAGCACCUAUAAGUCUAGUGCUUUUUUGAGGCAAACUCUUUCUAUUAUGACACUAGUUAGUGCUAUGAG
rnacentral:lncRNA from 1 species